UUUGAUGUCACAUUCUAGAAUGCAACAACUGAUGACAUCAUUUGCCAGUCAGUGAGGUCAUAGAAGAUUGUGUAUAUAAAGGCCAGUUUCACCUUCACGUUUCAGUCCUGAGAUCAUUUCAACGGAGACACUGUUCAAAUUGACACUCAGCAUUUUCUGUUCCGUCUACUUUUGCCUGGACAAAACAGAGAAACACUAAGCAUGGAUGGAGGCAGACUGAACAGGAAAAAGAGCAAAUCGGAGAGUGAUUUGGGGAAAAAGCCUGAGAUCCAGAGGCCUAGACCAAUGAGGCAACUGAACAGAAGACGACCAGUCCCUAAGCGAACCAAGUCAGAUACUGAGUUGGUGAGACCUAUGCCAGACCCAAAGAGCGGUGGAAAAGAACAGAGGCCACCUGGGGAUGACCCCGAGAGGGCUGGAGGAGAACAGCAACCUCCCGAGGAGCACCCGGAGAGGGCUGGAGGAGAACAGCAACCUCCCGAGGAGCAUCCGGAGAGGGCUGAAGGAGGACAGCAACCUCCCGAGGAGUACCCAGAGAGGGUCGGAGGAGGGCAGGGGCCACCAGGACAUGAACCAGCCAACAAUAACUGGCAACGUUUCAUUCGGGCUCUUCGGUCUGGGGUUAAUGUAUUUGCCCACUGGGCCCGGCGUUUUUUUUCUGCACUGCAAACUGUGUGUAUGUGCCUUUAUGAAUGUUGCAUGGCCAAUGAUGAAAUGAAUCUAAAUCCAUAUUAUUUUAUGUAAGCCCUAGUAUAAAUAGCUGUUGUGUCUCCUUCUUGUCUGAGUGGCACUGGGGAUGUAUCGUAGUAAUCGAGUGAGAAUCUUUUUAUCCUGUUUUCUUUGUUUUAAUAAAAAUUAUUGUUGUGAAGUA